CCUUCCAUGAUGAAAUAUUGCGGAUGUAAAUCUAUUGUCACGUCUGAAUGCGCAAACCCUGUAGAGAUUUCCGUUGCCUUCCUUCUGAUCUGGAAA
rnacentral:snoRNA from 15 species